rnacentral:rRNA from 1 species
UACAGAGGGUGCGAGCGUUGUCCGGAAUCACUGGGCGUAAAGGGCGCGUAGGUGGCCUGGUAAGUCGGGGGUGAAAUCUCGAGGCUCAACUUCGAGGCUGCCUCCUAAACUGUCAGGCUUGAGCAGAGUAGAGGCAGGUGGAAUUCCCGGUGUAGCGGUGAAAUGCGUAGAUAUCGAGAGGAACACCUGCGGCGAAGGCGGCACUCUGGGCCGGUACUGACGCUGAGGAGCGAAAGCGUGGGGAGCAAACAGG